rnacentral:rRNA from 1 species
CCUACGGGAGGCUGCAGUGGGGGAUAUUGCACAAUGGGCGAAACUCUGAUGCAGCGACGCCGCGUGAGUGAAGAAGUAUUUCGGUAUGUAAAGCUCUAUUAGUAGGGAAGAAAAUGACAGUACCUGACCAAGAAUCCACGUCUAACUACGUUCCAGCAGCCGCGGGAACACGGAGGGGGCCACCGUUAUCCGGAUUUACUGGGUGUAAAGGGAGCGUAGGCGGUUUUGUAAGUCCGUAGUGAAAUCCCGGGGCCCAACCCCGGAACUGCAUUGGAAACUGUGGAACUGGAGUACAGGAGGGGCAGGCGGAAUUCCUGGUGUAGCGGUGAAAUGCGUAGAUAUCAGGAGGAACACCGGCGGCGAAGGCAGCCUGCUGGACUGAAACUGACGUUGAGGCUCGAAAGCGUGGGGAGCAAACAGGAUUAGAUACCCUAGUAGUC